rnacentral:rRNA from 1 species
AAUUUUGGACAAUGGGGGAAACCCUGAUCCACCAAUGCCGCGUGCAGGAUGAAGGCCUUCGGGUUGUACACUGCUUUUGUACGGAACGAAACGUCUUUGGCUAAUACCCUGGGCUCAUUACGGUACCGUAGGAAUAAGCACCGCCUAACUACGUUCCAUCAGCCGCGGUAAUACGUAGGGUGCAAGCGUUAAUCGGAAUUACUGGGCGUAAAGCGUGCGCAGGCGGUUUUGUAAGACAGUGGUGAAAUCCCCGGGCUCAACCUGGGAACUGCCAUUGUGACUGCAAGGCUGGAGUGCGGCAGAGGGGGAUGGAAUUCCGCGUGUAGCAGUGAAAUGCGUAGAUAUGCGGAGGAACACCGAUGGCGAAGGCAAUCCCCUGGGCCUGCACUGACGCUCAUGCACGAAAGCGUGGGGAGCAAACAGG